GGAGAGUGUCGCAUGGCUGGUGCUGGCCGCGGUCUUCAAAACCGUUGAAACCUCGCAAGGGGUUUGGUGGGUUCGAUUCCCUCCCUCUCCGCCA
rnacentral:tRNA from 1 species